AAAGAAAGCGUAAUAGCUCACUGGUCGAGUCGGCCUGCGCGGAAGAUGUAACGGGGCUAAACCAUGCACCGAAGCUGCGGCAGCGACACUCAGGUGUUGUUGGGUAGGGGAGCGUUCUGUAAGCCUGUGAAGGUGGCCUGUGAGGGUUGCUGGAGGUAUCAGAAGUGCGAAUGCUGACAUAAGUAACGAUAAAGCGGGUGAAAAGCCCGCUCGCCGGAAGACCAA
rnacentral:rRNA from 4 species